rnacentral:rRNA from 1 species
UUAAGUUAUUAAGGGCGCACGGUGGAUGCCUUGGCACUAGAAGCCGAUGAAGGACGUUACUAACGACGAUAUGCUUUGGGGAGCUGUAAGUAAGCUUUGAUCCAGAGAUUUCCGAAUGGGGAAACCCAGCAUGAGUUAUGUCAUGUUAUCGAUAUGUGAAUACAUAGCAUAUCAGAAGGCACACCCGGAGAACUGAAACAUCUUAGUACCCGGAGGAAGAGAAAGAAAAUUCGAUUCCCUUAGUAGCGGCGAGCGAAACGGGAAGAGCCCAAACCAACAAGCUUGCUUGUUGGGGUUGUAGGACACUCUGUACGGAGUUACAAAGGACGACAUUAGACGAAUCAUCUGGAAAGAUGAAUCAAAGAAGGUAAUAAUCCUGUAGUCGAAAAUGUUGUCUCUCUUGAGUGGAUCCUGAGUACGACGGAGCACGUGAAAUUCCGUCGGAAUCUGGGAGGACCAUCUCCUAAGGCUAAAUACUCUCUAGUGACCGAUAGUGAACCAGUACCGUGAGGGAAAGGUGAAAAGCACCCCGGAAGGGGAGUGAAAUAGAACCUGAAACCGUGUGCUUACAAGUAGUCAGAGCCCGUUAAUGGGUGAUGGCGUGCCUUUUGUAGAAUGAACCGGCGAGUUACGAUUUGAUGCAAGGUUAAGCAGUAAAUGUGGAGCCGUAGCGAAAGCGAGUCUGAAUAGGGCGUUUAGUAUUUGGUCGUAGACCCGAAACCAGGUGAUCUACCCUUGGUCAGGUUGAAGUUCAGGUAACACUGAAUGGAGGACCGAACCGACUUACGUUGAAAAGUGAGCGGAUGAACUGAGGGUAGCGGAGAAAUUCCAAUCGAACCUGGAGAUAGCUGGUUCUCUCCGAAAUAGCUUUAGGGCUAGCCUCAAGUGAUGAUUAUUGGAGGUAGAGCACUGUUUGGACGAGGGGCCCCUCUCGGGUUACCGAAUUCAGACAAACUCCGAAUGCCAAUUAAUUUAACUUGGGAGUCAGAACAUGGGUGAUAAGGUCCGUGUUCGAAAGGGAAACAGCCCAGACCACCAGCUAAGGUCCCAAAAUAUAUGUUAAGUGGAAAAGGAUGUGGCGUUGCCCAGACAACUAGGAUGUUGGCUUAGAAGCAGCCAUCAUUUAAAGAGUGCGUAAUAGCUCACUAGUCGAGUGACACUGCGCCGAAAAUGUACCGGGGCUAAACAUAUUACCGAAGCUGUGGAUUGUCCUUUGGACAAUGGUAGGAGAGCGUUCUAAGGGCGUUGAAGCAUGAUCGUAAGGACAUGUGGAGCGCUUAGAAGUGAGAAUGCCGGUGUGAGUAGCGAAAGACGGGUGAGAAUCCCGUCCACCGAUUGACUAAGGUUUCCAGAGGAAGGCUCGUCCGCUCUGGGUUAGUCGGGUCCUAAGCUGAGGCCGACAGGCGUAGGCGAUGGAUAACAGGUUGAUAUUCCUGUACCACCUAUAAUCGUUUUAAUCGAUGGGGGGACGCAGUAGGAUAGGCGAAGCGUGCGAUUGGAUUGCACGUCUAAGCAGUAAGGCUGAGUAUUAGGCAAAUCCGGUACUCGUUAAGGCUGAGCUGUGAUGGGGAGAAGACAUUGUGUCUUCGAGUCGUUGAUUUCACACUGCCGAGAAAAGCCUCUAGAUAGAAAAUAGGUGCCCGUACCGCAAACCGACACAGGUAGUCAAGAUGAGAAUUCUAAGGUGAGCGAGCGAACUCUCGUUAAGGAACUCGGCAAAAUGACCCCGUAACUUCGGGAGAAGGGGUGCUCUUUAGGGUUAACGCCCAGAAGAGCCGCAGUGAAUAGGCCCAAGCGACUGUUUAUCAAAAACACAGGUCUCUGCUAAACCGUAAGGUGAUGUAUAGGGGCUGACGCCUGCCCGGUGCUGGAAGGUUAAGAGGAGUGGUUAGCUUCUGCGAAGCUACGAAUCGAAGCCCCAGUAAACGGCGGCCGUAACUAUAACGGUCCUAAGGUAGCGAAAUUCCUUGUCGGGUAAGUUCCGACCCGCACGAAAGGCGUAACGAUUUGGGCACUGUCUCAACGAGAGACUCGGUGAAAUCAUAGUACCUGUGAAGAUGCAGGUUACCCGCGACAGGACGGAAAGACCCCGUGGAGCUUUACUGUAGCCUGAUAUUGAAAUUCGGCACAGCUUGUACAGGAUAGGUAGGAGCCUUUGAAACGUGAGCGCUAGCUUACGUGGAGGCGCUGGUGGGAUACUACCCUAGCUGUGUUGGCUUUCUAACCCGCACCACUUAUCGUGGUGGGAGACAGUGUCAGGCGGGCAGUUUGACUGGGGCGGUCGCCUCCUAAAAGGUAACGGAGGCGCUCAAAGGUUCCCUCAGAAUGGUUGGAAAUCAUUCAUAGAGUGUAAAGGCAUAAGGGAGCUUGACUGCGAGACCUACAAGUCGAGCAGGGUCGAAAGACGGACUUAGUGAUCCGGUGGUUCCGCAUGGAAGGGCCAUCGCUCAACGGAUAAAAGCUACCCCGGGGAUAACAGGCUUAUCUCCCCCAAGAGUUCACAUCGACGGGGAGGUUUGGCACCUCGAUGUCGGCUCAUCGCAUCCUGGGGCUGUAGUCGGUCCCAAGGGUUGGGCUGUUCGCCCAUUAAAGCGAUACGCGAGCUGGGUUCAGAACGUCGUGAGACAGUUCGGUCCCUAUCCGUCGUGGGCGUAGGAAAUUUGAGAGGAGCUGUCCUUAGUACGAGAGGACCGGGAUGGACAUACCUCUGGUGUACCAGUUGUCGUGCCAACGGCAUAGCUGGGUAGCUAUGUGUGGACGGGAUAAGUGCUGAAAGCAUCUAAGCAUGAAGCCCCCCUCAAGAUGAGAUUUCCCAACUUCGGUUAUAAGAUCCCUCAAAGAUGAUGAGGUUAAUAGGUUCGAGGUGGAAGCAUGGUGACAUGUGGAGCUGACGAAUACUAAUCGAUCGAAGACUUAAUCAA